rnacentral:rRNA from 1 species
CCUACGGGAGGCAGCAGUGAGGAAUAUUGGUCAAUGGACGAAAGUCUGAACCAGCCAAGUAGCGUGAAGGAUGAUUGCCUUAUGGGUUGUAAACUUCUUUUAUAUGGGAAUAAAAUGUUCCACGUGUGGGAUUUUGUAUGUCCCAUAUGAAUAAGGUACGGCAAACUCCGUGCCAGCAGCCGCGGUAAUACGGAGGAUCCGAGCGUUAUCCGGUUUUAUUGGGUUUAAGGGGUGCGUAGGCGGUCCGUUAAGUCAGCGGUAAAAUUGCGGGGCUCACCCCCGUCGAGCCGUUGAAACUGGCAGACUUGAGUGUGCGUGAAGUACGCGGAAUGCGCGGUGUAGCGGUGAAAUGCAUAGAUAUCACGCAGAACUCCGAUUGCGAAGGCAGCGUACCGGCGCCAGACUGACGCUGAGGCACGAAAGCGUGGGGAUCGAACAGGAUUAGAUACCCUUGUAGUC